rnacentral:rRNA from 1 species
GAUGAACGCUGGCGGCGUGCUUAACACAUGCAAGUCGAACGGGAAAUAUUUCAUUGAGACUUCGGUGGAUUUGAUUUAUUUCUAGUGGCGGACGGGUGAGUAACGCGUGGGUAACCUGCCUUAUACAGGGGGAUAACAGUCAGAAAUGGCUGCUAAUACCGCAUAAGCGCACAGAGCUGCAUGGCUCAGUGUGAAAAACUCCGGUGGUAUAAGAUGGACCCGCGUUGGAUUAGCUAGGUGGUGGGGUAACGGCCCACCAAGGCGACGAUCCAUAGCCGGCCUGAGAGGGUGAACGGCGACAUUGGGACUGAGACACGGCCCAGACUGCUACGGGAGGCAGCAGUGGGGAAUAUUGCACAAUGGGGGAAACCCUGAUGCAGCGACGCCGCGUGAAGGAAGAAGUAUCUCGGUAUGUAAACUUCUAUCAGCAGGGAAGAUAGUGACGGUACCUGACUAAGAAGCCCCGGCUAACUACGU